GACGAACGCUGGCGGCGUGCUUAACACAUGCAAGUCGAACGGUGAACCUCUUCGGAGGGGAUCAGUGGCGAACGGGUGAGUAACACGUGGGCAACCUGCCCCCGGCUCUGGGAUAACUCCAAGAAAUUGGGGCUAAUACCGGAUGUUCACCGCUUCCCGCAUGGGUGGGGGUGGAAAGGGUUUCCGGCUGGGGAUGGGCUCGCGGCCUAGCAGCUUGUUGGUGGGGUAGUGGCCUACCAAGGCGAUGACGGGUAGCCGGCCUGAGAGGGUGACCGGCCACAUUGGGACUGAGAGACGGCACAGACUCCUACGGGAGGCAGCAGUGGGGAAUAUUGCACAAUGGGCGGAAGCCUGAUGCAGCAACGCCGCGUGCGGGAUGACGGCCUUCGGGUUGUAAACCGCUUUCGCCUGUGACGAAGCGUGAGUGACGGUAAUGGGUAAAGAAGCACCGGCUAACUACGUG
rnacentral:rRNA from 1 species